CCUCAAUUUCCUGUCCCCCAGCGUGCCCCCCAUUUUGGCCUCCGACUGGGAGCAAUUUGGAGGGGAGUUAGGUCUAUUGUUGCCGGCAGGACUCUGAUAUCUAGGCGGGGGAAUGCCUUAAAACUUUUGGAGGGAACUGGCAGUGGGAUUUGGCGGGGAGAGAGAGACACUGGUUUCCCACUCGGCUUGUUCCCCUAACUUCCCUCCUUCAACCCUUAAACUUUUCUCUUUGUGGCAGUCUUUCUCUGUCCCUGAGCUCCUUGCUGUACCCGCCCACUAUUUUUCAUUCUCGGCCCCUGAGAGCCCUUGCAUUGGAUAAAUGCAGUUAUUUCACAGAUUCUGGAAGUUGGCGCCAGUCUCCAGUUAAUGCUGCGAAGCUUAAGGGUCUUCGUAACAAAAGGAACCUCCAAGGGUGUCCGGAAAUAGAAUUGUGCUCAUUGCCUUCCAACCACUCCUGCUGCCGUCGCAGCACGGUCUCUGGGCCUGGUCUCCCAGCUCCCUUUGACUAAGCAGGCCAAUACCAAAUAAGGUCGUCGGACUAUAUGCCCUGCCCUGUGUGUGUGCGAUCCAGACCCAGGCUUUGUCUGCCAGGAGCCUGGAAAUGUUGGCCACGGUUACUAAGUCGGGUUAGUCUAGCAUUGAUUCGGAUUGUCUUUCGAACUAUCAUCAGAUAAAUGUGCUAGUAAUAGAUUUAAGUAGUGUAGAAGGUCUUUACAUCUUAAGCAAUUUUAUUUAAAAUUCCAGAGAUCCAUGGAAUUUUUGUUUAUUCAUUAAAAGAUCUAUAAACAACA